rnacentral:tRNA from 1 species
ACCCUUGAAAGAUAAUAGCCAUCUAU